rnacentral:misc_RNA from 1 species
GUUUUGCAUUUGCUCUUGGGAUAGUGGUUACUAUUGAGAGAAGAAAAAGAGUUGGUGGUGCUGGUGGAGAUAAGGGACCUUGCUAUCAAGUAGGCCAAAACUUCACGGUCUUGGUUUGGGAGAGAUAAGGCUAGGGCUAGGAUGGCCACUGGGAGUAGCUUUAAAACAGAAUCAGUAUCUUUAUAUGAAGACGAUGAUGGUGGAGAAGAUAGGAAUGGUUAUUUCGUGGAGCGUCUCGAGUCCCGAGACGGGACGAAUGGGACCUAAGGUUGGCACUGUUCGGGAAGAGACGUAGAGAGGGUUCCUUUGGCAGCUACCACCACCGAAGAGCUUUUACUUUAAGUGGCUGUACCACGCCGACCGGCUAUUUAAGGGGUCUCUGUGUGCCUCGAUGGAAUAUAGACUGUUGAUGCUUUACUUUUCAGUGAUAUACGCAAAUUCAUUGAAACAAACAAUGUUUUGUUGUCCUUGUAGGUUAACGGAAUAUGGGGGAAUGCCUCACUCUCAUGUUUCAAC